AGCCCGGUGGUGUAGCGGUCAAGCAUAGUGGGCUUUGGACCCGCUGACAGGAGUUCGAAUCUCCUCCGGGCUACCA
rnacentral:tRNA from 1 species